rnacentral:rRNA from 1 species
AGUGAACGCUGGCGGCAGGCCUAACACAUGCAAGUCGAACGGCAGCACGGCAGUAGCAAUACUGUGGGUGGCGAGUGGCGGACGGGUGAGGAAUACAUCGGGAUCUACCCUGUUGUGGGGGAUAACGUAGGGAAACUUACGCUAAUACCGCAUAAGAACUGAGGUUGAAAGCGGCGGACCGCAAGGCGUCGCGCGAUUGGAUGAACCGAUGUCCGAUUAGCUAGUUGGCGGGGUAAAGGCCCACCAAGGCGACGAUCGGUAGCUGGUCUGAGAGGACGACCAGCCACACUGGAACUGAGACACGGUCCAGACUCCUACGGCAGGCAGCAGUGGGGAAUAUUGGACAAUGGGCGCAAGCCUGAUCCAGCCAUGCCGCGUGGGUGAAGAAGGCCU